UGACUCCCCACCACAGUGACACAAACCAACCAGCCGCCUCGAGAGGUUGCUGAAGAGGUAUGCAGCGAUGGUCUGGAGGAAAAAAUAGUCACAUGGACUGGUGUGCAUUCCAGUACUUGAAAUGAUGCUGUUGCUCAGGCACAUCCAGGUGCGAGGAUGGGGGAGAUCCGGAUGUCGCUAAAUAAAAGAAUCUGUGAACUGCUUCACCAAGAGAAAAAGAAGUCCAUGGACAGGCCUAUGAGCCCUCUUGUUGACCUUGAGUGACUGAGGCUGCGGGCGGUCUGCCCCUGAAUUCACCUUCACUUUUUUUUUUUUUUUUUUUUUAAUAUAUCUGAAGGUGUGUGUGUGUGUGUGCGCGCGCGGGUGUGUGUGUGUGGGCGCGGGCACGCGUAUGUGUUUGUGUGUGUGCGCGUGUGUGUGCACGCGUGCAUGUGUGCCAGUGCUUUAUGUGAGGUGUUUCGCUUACCGGCCACAGCCACAGUUUUUUGUUUUGUUUUGUUUUUGUUUUAUUUGU